CCACCCCCCACCCCAGUUUCCUUCGCCUCCCUCCAUCCCCCACCCCAGUUUCCUUCGCCUCCCUCCAUCCCGCUACGCGUCAUUUACGGGAGCGCAAGAUAGGUUGGCGGUUUAUCCACGGGAAGGCACCGAACGAGAGGGUCGCCGUCCAGAGAGCUGCGCCGGCUGCGCUGGACCGCCCUGAUAUGUGAAGAACGGUCUACGUGCCCGGUGGCGACAUCCGAGGGUCAGCGGAAACUUGGCCCGUCGGUGCCAGAGGGAGAUAAUGCACAGAAUCGAAAACGUCGGGCGCUCUGAAGCAUCCCGAACGCUCAUAAACCAAGUACGGCGCUGUUUGGUCCAGUGCUCCGGAAUACGAGCGAUCGAUUGACUGACUGAGGUUUCGGAACCACUCGGUCGCCUGAGGGUCCUUGUGUGGUGGAUUCCCAGCUCUGGAUCGACACCCGGCCCUCAGCCUGGCCAGCUAAGGGUGCGCUGAGGCGUCCGCGAGCGCACGUGUGGGUGUGGAGAUCGAGGCCCAGAGAGGUGAAGUGCCUUGCCCAAAGCACUCGGCGAGUCAGCGGCCAGACUCGAACCCAGGUCCUUUAUAAGACGGAGCGGUAGCUACGGCUGAAACGAGUUAACGGGUAAACCUUUACUCCGAAGAAUCUUUGGUCGGCCCAACAUAUGAGAAGCAGCGCGGCUCGGUGUGAAGAGCCCGGGUUUGGGAGUCAGA